CAUGCAAGUCGAACGGAGCACCCUUGAUUGAGGUUUCGGCCAAAUGAUAGGAAUGCUUAGUGGCGGACUGGUGAGUAACGCGUGAGGAACCUGCCUUCCAGAGGGGGACAACAGUUGGAAACGACUGCUAAUACCGCAUGACGCAUGAUCGGGGCAUCCCGGACAUGCCAAAGAUUUUAUCGCUGGAAGAUGGCCUCGCGUCUGAUUAGCUAGAUGGCAGGGUAACGGCCUACCAUGGCGACGAUCAGUAGCCGGACUGAGAGGUUGACCGGCCACAUUGGGACUGAGAUACGGCCCAGACUCCUACGGGAGGCAGCAGUGGGGAAUAUUGGGCAAUGGACGCAAGUCUGACCCAGCAACGCCGCGUGAAGGAAGAAGGCUUUCGGGUUGUAAACUUCUUUUGUCAGGGAACAGUAGAAGAGGGUACCUGACGAAUAAGCCACGGCUAACUACGUGCCAGCAGCCGCGGUAAUACGUAGGUGGCAAGCGUUGUCCGGAUUUACUGGGUGUAAAGGGCGUGUAGCCGGGUGUGUAAGUCAGAUGUGAAAUCUGGAGGCUCAACCUCCAAACUGCAUUUGAAACUGCGCAUCUUGAGUAUCGGAGAGGUAAUCGGAAUUCCUAGUGUAGCGGUGAAAUGCGUAGAUAUUAGGAAGAACACCAGUGGCGAAGGCGGAUUACUGGACGACAACUGACGG
rnacentral:rRNA from 1 species